UGUGAAUGGAGUGAGGAGAGCAGAAGAGAUGUUCCUCCUUUCUUGCGUGUCUGUUUUCUUUGGAGGCCUAGGAGCUCACAUACACUGAGGAGUCGGGAGGAGGAGGAGGAGCCAGGGCUAGUGAGGAAAGAUGAGUGCCUUGGCGUAGCCGGAAGCGUUGGCCAAGGAGCAGGACGUGGCUAAGCAGAGGCAGUUCUCAUUAAAUUGAUGAGCCGAGAUCUGGUCCUACUUCACCAUCUGGAAUUGUAGUCUGGCGUUCUGCUGAAAGCUGCUGACCCAGGAUUCAACUCUUCAACUCAGGGAAGAGGAGAGCGAGGAAAAGAAAAAGUCUGUCAUGUCAGCAGAAGUCACUGUGUCAAAGUCCUUUAUCUUGUCAUCAAGCUGAAGAGCUUUGGAGUAACGGCUUGGAUUAAACUAGCUCCUUGGCAGCACCAAGAGGCAGAGAUCCAAAGUAAAGGGUAGAUGGAAGUUACCAAUCUAGUCCCAUGUACUCAUCCUUCCAAAUUACUUGUUAUCAUUUGUUGUUGUAGUUCACACAAAGCAUGAAAUUCUGUCAUCUAUCUAUCUAUCUAUCUAUCUAUCCAUCUUUUGUAUUCUGAAGUAAAGCAAUCGAGGCUUGUGUCGGAACCCAGUAGCCAUUUGUGAGCGAAUUAUGCUUUCAAACUGAUUCUUUUGAAUCAGUUCACACAGAUCGCAUUAACUGAUUCAUGCGCCAACUGGACUGAUCCGUGUGGAGCUGUUCAUGAGGCAACAACUAUCCUGAGCGAGUCUUAACAACUCAACAGAAUUGUUCAUGUCCGUAAUAUGAUCCUCAGAGUUUGUGUAUUCAGAGGAUUUGACAUUAAAGUUACUGAACUAAUGGCAAACUUAAA